rnacentral:ncRNA from 1 species
AAAAGACUUAGUCCUAACCUUACCGUUAAUUUUUACUAAACAUAUACAUGCAAGUAUCUGCGCACCAGUGUAGAUGCCCCUGACUUCUUGUUAAGAUGACGGGAGCUGGUAUCAGGCACACUCACAGCUGUAGCCCAAGACGCCUUGCUUUAGCCACACCCCCACGGGUACUCAGCAGUAAUUAACCUUAAGCAAUAAGUGAAAACUUGACUUAGUUAUAGUAACACCUAGGGUUGGUAAAUCUUGUGCCAGCCACCGCGGUCACACAAGAAACCCAAAUUAACUGUUAAUCCGGCGUAAAGAGUGGUGCCCAUGCUAUCACACCAACUAAGAUCGAAAUGCAACUAAGCUGUCAUAAGCCCAAGAUGCAUCUAAGCUCACCUUCAAGACGAUCUUAGCAUCCAUGAUCAAUUAAACCCCCACGAAAGCUAAGGCACAAACUGGGAUUAGAUACCCCACUAUGCUUAGCCCUAAAUCUCGAUACUUACCCCACUGAAGUAUCCGCCUGAGAACUACGAGCACAAACGCUUAAAACUCUAAGGACUUGGCGGUGCCCCAAACCCACCUAGAGGAGCCUGUUCUAUAACCGAUAACCCACGAUACACCCGACCGCUCUUUGCCAAAGCAGCCUACAUACCGCCGUCGCCAGCUCACCUUUUCUGAGAGUACAACAGUGAGCAUAAUAGCCCUCUACCGCUAACAAGACAGGUCAAGGUAUAGCCCAUAGAGCGGAAGAAAUGGGCUACAUUUUCUAAAAUAGAAAACUCACGGAAGGGGGCAUGAAACUGCCCCCAGAAGGCGGAUUUAGCAGUAAAGCGGGAUAACGAAUGCCCUCUUUAAGCUGGCUCUGGAGCACGUACAUACCGCCCGUCACCCUCCUCACAAGCUAUACCCCCCCCCCAAUAACUAAUACACGUCCCAGCCAAAGAUGAGGUAAGUCGUAACAAGGUAAGUGUACCGGAAGGUGCACUUAGCAUAUC